AAAAACAUACUUUAAAUUCCUCUGUAAAAGAUUCAUUUGAUUUUUUGGAAGUGACAAUCUACGCUGUCUCUGUCAUCACUACAUUUUGAACUUGUGAAAGUUGAAUGUCAUCCUUGAACAGGAAGACGGAGAAGAAAUAACUGCAAAUUCACUUCAUCCUGGAACAAUCACAACCAAUCUUUUCCGUAACCUUGGUGUUUUUGAAGGUGUUAUAAGUACAGUUGGUAAAUUUGUGUUAAAAAACAUUCCACAGGGGGCAUCAACUAGCUGUUAUGUGGCAUUGCAUCCACAAGUGAAGGGGAAAAGUGGUGAAUAUUUUUCAGACAAUAACUUGGCCGCGCCAAGCUCAAAGGCUGCAGACACAGAAUUGUCAAAAAAAUUAUGGGAAUAUAGCAUGGAUUUGAUUAGGUAAUGUUGUAUUACCGAUAUCAUGGAAGCAAAGUUUAAAGAAAAAAUAUAUUCAAUAUUGUCGUAUUGGUUUGUGUCCUUCCAUGAGGGGCGUUACUAUGGGUUAUGUAUAUGUUUUGCUGGAAAAAAAUGAGUAAAUGACUUAAUUUUGGCACAA